UGGAUGUAACAAUAGUUUAGUUUAUACGACAAUUUUUUUUUCGGUGUUAGGCUUCAUUCAUUAGGCUUAGUUUUAUGAAAAAAGUUUAUAUAUAUAACAAGUUUUCUUCAAAUCUGGUGUUUAGUAUUUGAUCGUGAAUAUAAACCAACGUCUCAUUAUUCUACAACCCCAAAAGUAUGCAUUCCAAAAUAAUACUUUUUCUUCACCUACAGACUCAAAGCUUAAUGGCUUAAAUGUGAAUGUGGCCAAGACCAGACCACGGAUACCCACGCCCGAGGUAGCCAAGGAUGGCAACACUAAUCCAGCCACCAGCUCGGUCCUCAUGGCACCACAGCAGCUGAGCACCACCAGCGCACCACCGGUGCUUUUGCAUAACUGUAUAAAGAAUCUCUAUCUCGUGUAGGCAGUGUAAAUACUUGUAAACCAACACAGUAUGUGAUAUGCGAUUGUUAUUCAGCUAGAAUUUGUAUCUUUACAAGUACAGAUAAUUAAGUGCCUAAGUUUAUAUUCUGUAAUUAUAAUACCCUGUAUGUGAAUCUAGGAAAUCUAUGCAAUAGUGGCAUUUGUACAGAUAAAGAGGUAACUUCUUUUAGUUAUACUUUGAAAUAAAAUCAAUCACUUAACAAACAA